CCCUUAGAUGUUCUGGGCCGCACGCGCGCUACACUGAUGCAUUCAACGAGCCUAUCCUUGACCGACAGGUCCGGGUAAUCUUUGAAUCUGCAUCGUGACGGGGAUAGAUUAUUGCAAUUAUUAAUCUUCAACGAGGAAUGCCUAGUAGGCGCAAGUCAUCAGCUUGCGUCGAUUACGUCCCUGCCCUUUGUACACACCGCCCGUCGCUCCUACCGAUUGGGUGUGCUGGUGAAAUAUUCGGAUCGGCCGUUUGUCGCGGUUUCCGCGUCAUGUGGCUGAGAAGUUCAUUAAACCCUCCCACCUAGAGGAAGGAGAAGUCGUAACA
rnacentral:rRNA from 1 species